rnacentral:lncRNA from 1 species
CUACAUUAAUACAAAAAAAAAAUAGUUACCCAUAUAUAAACACACCGAAAAGUUAAUUACCUUAAUAAGUCAUAUUCCCUAUUUGAUAAGAGAAGCAUAAAUAUUUACGGUUAUUGGCAUAUGGAAUUAACAGAAUAGUGAAAUUUAUUUCAAAAUAUAAAACAAAUGCGACAGUGACUCAAGAUUAUGUGCAGAAAAAUAAACUGACGAAAAUCAAACAAUUCAUUGAUUGGUAAUUUUCAUAUCUUUCCUUUUAUUAUGGUAAGACAAUGAAACAAUCAAAUGUCAGGUUAGAGGAAAUAAUUGUAGCAAGGAUUUUAAGUUUAGAUGAUUUCACUAUAUAAUCAUCAAAUCCCAUAGUAUGCCCCCGUUAAGAAAGAAAUAAACAAUUGCCACAUAAACUACUAAAAGCAAAAUCAAUCAAACAUAUCAAAAACAACGAAACCCCUUCUUCUUCCUUCACCUCACCCCUGUUUCUUAAAAACAUUAAAAAUGUAAAACUUUGGGUUUUUGUAAAAGGAUUAAAUGGACUAAAAAACAAAUCAAAUAGAGAGAGUCAAUGUCAGAUCUGAUUUCAAAGUGGCUCUUUUUUUAGAUUUGAUUGCUAGGUAAACAUUGGUGAGAAUGUUGAAUACUAUGUAAAUAAUAGUUAAAAAUACAACAAUGUUGGAGUAGCAAUAACUAUAACCAAAGUGCAGCCUCCCACUAAAUUGCUUCAGCCAUUUUGAUUUCUUAAUUCCUAGUAACUUUUAGCACAUGAUGAAGAUCAUCUGUUGAACACUCACAUACACAAAUAUUUGUAAGAUCACUUGUUAAUAACAAAUACACAAGUUAUAUUCUUCAAAACUAAACUUGCAAGAAAUUAGUUAGUUAGCUUUCUUUCAAGAUCACGUCACCAUAAAAAUCAAACAAUCAUGAAGCUACAUAAUACCAGUUUCAGAACUAUUGAAAUCUAGAAGAUGCAAAAAAAUGUUAGUUUUUUUUUUUUACAAAUCUUUAUUUUCAUGUCCGUUGAAAUAGUAAGUAUACAAUUUUGUUUCAAGAUAUGCUAAAAUAAAAUAAAUAUAAUAAAUAGUUAGUUUAUAUAAAUCUUUGUUUCCAGAUCUACUAAAAUGUAAACAAAAUACAAGUAAAAGUUAAUUAUCAAAAAUAUUACUUUUGAUAACAUAAUUUCAGAAUAUAAACUCUCUUUUAGGAAUCAUCGUUCGUCAAAACCCUAAAAAAAAUCUUAUAAUCGAAAAGGUAGAAGCAAAAUGAGAACAGCAAACCUUAUAAUCGAAAAGGUAGAAGCAAAAUGUUACUUUUGAUAACAUAAUUUCAGAAUAUAAACUCUCUUUUAGGAAUCAUCGUUCGUCAAAACCCUAAAAAAAAUCUUUCAGGUAAACAAAUACCAGAACAGAAGCAUAAAUAGAAAAAAAUCAAGAAAUAAUAGCAAGCGGUGGGUUUGGAUACCUUUUACCCGGAUUGGAAGCUUCAUGGUCGUGGUCGUUGCUGGAUAAAAAAAGGCACAAGAAAGAGGUCGGAUGGCGUUUCAGAUUAGCAAAUAAGAAGGUGUAAGCAGGUGGAUAUCGUGGUGGCAGUAAUGGUUGUACAGAAGGUGGUGCGAUGGAUGGCGGCCGACAUUAGGGUUAGGGAUGAGAGAGGAGGAGCAAACUUUUCUAUUUCAAAAUCAAUAAAUGGAAAAGAAUGGUGGGAGAAGCCUAGAAGGUACAUCUACGACUUUUUUCUUUAUUUUGAAUUGCCCGCACAAUCAUCUGUUCCCCUUCUUUCAUUAAUUUUUGUAAAGCAUGGUCUAUUUGUACCUCUUAGUCUUAAAUCUAAG